rnacentral:rRNA from 1 species
AUUGAACGCUGGCGUCAUGCUUUACACAUGCAAGUCGAACGGUAACAGGGUGCUUGCACCGCUGACGAGUGGCGAACGGGUGAGUAAUGCGUCGGAACGUGCCGAGUAGUGGGGGAUAACGCAUCGAAAGGUGUGCUAAUACCGCAUACGUACUGAGGUAGAAAGUGGGGGACCUUCGGGCCUCAAGCUAUUCGAGCGGCCGACGUCUGAUUAGCUAGUUGGUUAGGUAAAGGCUCACCAAGGCGACGAGCAGGAGCGGGUCUGAGAGGAUGAUCCUCCACACUGGGCCUGAGGCACGGCCCAGACUCCUACGGUAGGCAGCAGUGGGGGAUUUUGGACAAUGGGCGCAAGCCUGAUCCAGCCAUGCCGCGUGUCUGAAGAAGGCCUUCGGGUUGUAAAGGACUUUUGUCCGGGAGCAAAUACCCAGUGCUAAUAACGCUGGGGGCUGAGAGUACCGGAAGAAUAAGCACCGGCUAACUACGUGCCAGCCGCCGCGGUAACA